CCUGCAGCAGCGUCUUGCUCCCCAAACACCCAUUUAGCAUGCUCGGAAUAGGUUCCAGUCGUGGCAUUCGGAAGUCGAACGGGAGGAAUAUCUGACAAUUAUCGCCUGACCUGACGAUCUGCGGAAGCGAGAUCUCCCAUUCUCGUCUCCUUUACGCAGGUAUGCAUCCCUGCAUACAGCCGGCUCAAGGAGAACCAACUUAGCCACCAAAAGGAACCAAAAGAAAAGCUAGGCCACUCUGGCCAGACCAGCUGCGUCCGUUUCCGUUUCUCACCCACAGAAUACACCGGUCCACAUAAAACAAUUUUUUUGUUUCUUUUUGUAGCGCACUUUGAGAAGCUG
rnacentral:sRNA from 1 species